GUGAUUCCUCAGUCAGCGGCGAGCGAAGAGGGACCGAACUCGUUGCCGAAUCGGGCCCAAACGGCCCUGAGUUGUGGCAAUAACGAUGCUUCGUGGUUGGUGCGGGAGUGGCGAAAUUCAAGCGCAAAGCAAACCCAUUGCUGAACACAACCCUUCGUGUGAGUAUUGAACCAGAGAAGGUGUCAGUCCAUUCAGCCACGACCCCAGCGCCUCAUUAAGUAAUCAAGAGAGUAGCACUGUUUGGGAAUGCAGUGUCAAUCGGCAGGUAUGUGUCUGCCAAAGUUAAAUACAGAGUAGGAAGACCGAUAUCGAACAAGUAGCGUGAGCGAAAGUUUGAAAAGCACUUUGGAAAGAGAGUGACAUAGAACCUGAAAUCGUGACAAUGACAAUGGAAGCACCUCCAUUUCAGUGGCCAGAACCAGCCCUACAGCAUUCUCGGCGGCAGCGGGCCUAGCCCUAUUGCCUCCGUAACCAAAGUGCACAACUGGGGUAUUGGUGAAACGAGCGGACAUAGAGUCGCGGCACCUUCGGGCAAGCCGUGUCCUCUUCCGUGAUGCUCCAUGCUGGCGAUAGGAAAUGGGGUGUCUCCACCCGUCUUGAAACACGGACCAAGGAGUCAAACAGACGCGCAAGGGAGAAGAUAUUGUUGCCAGUACUUCUCUCGUACUGAAAGGGAGCCAUCUUGCAUGGCCGUGGUGUGCACACAACACGAAUGCUCAACACCGACCGGCCCCCCGUGGGCUGAGUUUGAGUGUGCCUGUUUGGACCCGAAAGGUGGUGAACUAUGCCUGAACAAGGUGAAGCCCGGGGAAACUCAGGUGGAGGCCUGUAGCGAUGCUGACGUGCAAAUCGCUCGCAUGAUUUAGGUAUCGGAGCGAAAGACUCAUCGAACCACCUAGUAGCUGGUUCACAUCGAAGUUUCCCUCAGGAUAGCUGGUGCUUGUUUUAAAGAAGUACUGUGCGGUAAAGCAAAUGAUUAGAGGCAUUGGCGUUCUUAGAAUGUCGACCUAUUCUCAAACUUUAAAUGUGCAGAAAAACCCUCCUUUGCUAACUGCAAGGUGGGACAGAAAAGAAUUAAGGCACCAAGUGGGCCUUCUUCGGUAAGCGGAGCAGGCGAUGCGGAAUGAACCGCUUAGGGAUAUGUGGCGUCAAAACUUAUGGCUCAUUCUCGAUACGUGAAAGGUGUUAGUGA
rnacentral:rRNA from 1 species